GGCAGUGUAGUAUAAUGGGUAAGGAGUUGGGCUUGUAACCUAAAGGUCGCAGGUUCGAGUCCCUGCUGGGACUGUGUCA
rnacentral:tRNA from 1 species